UACAGAGGUGGCAAGCGUUGUUCGGAAUUACUGGGCGUAAAGGGCGCGUAGGCGGCUUUUUAAGUCAGACGUGAAAUCCCCCGGCUUAACCUGGGAACUGCGUCUGAUACUGGGAAGCUUGAGUUCGGGAGAGGGAUGUAGAAUUCCAGGUGUAGCGGUGAAAUGCGUAGAUAUCUGGAGGAAUACCGGUGGCGAAGGCGGCUCACUGGCCCGGUACUGACGCUGAGGCACGAAAGCGUGGGGAGCAAACAGG
rnacentral:rRNA from 1 species